rnacentral:tRNA from 1 species
GAGACCGUGUGGUUCGGCGCGGCGGCACCGCUGGCGUUGAUGGCGCCACUGGCUCGCGACGCGGGCGCCGCCCGGGUGAUCGCGAGCACCCAUGGCCACG